GAAAUGCGAUAAGUAAUGUGAAUUGCAGAAUUCAGUGAAUCAUCGAAUCUUUGAACGCACCUUGCGCUCCUUGGUAUUCCUUGGAGCAUGCCUGUUUGAGUAUUAUGAAAUCUUCAAAGUAAAUCUUUUGUUAACUCAAUUGGUUUCUACUUUGGUAUUGGAGGUCUUUGCAGCUUCACACCUGCUCCUCUUUGUUCAUUAGCUGGAUCUCAGUGUUAUGCUUGGUUCCACUCGGCGUGAUAAGUUAUCUAUCACUGAGGACACUGUAAAAGGUGGCCAAGGUAAAUGCAGAUGAACCGCUUCUAAUAGUCCAUUGACUUGGACAAUACUUUUAUGAUCUGAUCUCAAAUCAGGUAGGACUACCCGCUGAACUUAAGC
rnacentral:misc_RNA from 1 species